ACGGCUCAGUAACACGUAGCUAACUUACCCUUAAGUCAGGGAUAACCUCGGGAAACUGAGGGUAAUACCUGAUAGGAGAUAUACCUGGAAUGAUUUAUCUCUUAAAUUCGUGCUUAAGGAUAGGGCUGCGGUGGAUUAGGCUGUUGGCGGGGUAAAGGCCCACCAAACCUAUGAUCCAUAAGGGCUCUUAGCGGAGAGGCCCUGAGAGGGAAUCUGAGACACUAUUCCCAGCCCCACGGGGUGCAGCAGUUAGGAAUAAUUUACAAUGCGCGCAAGCGUGAUAAUUUGAGCCAGAGUGUUUUUCAAUUGAAAGACUUUUGUGAAAUGUAAAAAGUUUCAUGAAUAAGGACUGGGUAAGACUAGUGCCAGCCGCCGCGGUAAUACUAGCGGUCCAAGUCGCAGCCAUUUUUAUUGGGUCUAAAACAUCCGUAGCUUGCUUAAUAAGUCUUCUGUGAAAUUUUACGUCUAAAACGUAGAGCGCGCAGAAGGUACUGUUGAGCUAGAGACCGGAAGACGUAAGAAGUACAUUCAGAGUAGCGGUUAAAUGUGUUAAUCCUGAAUGGACUAACAAGAGCGAAGGCAUCUUACGAGGACGGAUCUGACAGUAAGGGAUGAAAGCUAGGGGCGCAAAUGGGAUUAGAUACCCCAGUAGUCCUAGCAGUAAACACUGCACACUAAACAUUAGUACCUCUUCGAGAGGUAUUAGUGCUGAAGGGAAGCCGGAGAGUGUGCUACCUGGGAAGUAUAGUCGCAAGGCCGAAACUUAAAGGAAUUGGCGGGGGAG
rnacentral:rRNA from 1 species